CUCCUGGUGCGUGGGCAAGGGUGCAGAUAAGUGGGCUUCUCCCACCAACACGGGGCUGGGUUGGUUCCACCAUCCCGGAGGGCCGUGCCUGUCCACCCUCAUGGUGUCUGUGGGUAUUUCGGCACCCUAAGCGUGUGCCACACCCCAAGUGUGCCAGGCAAUCGCUGUUCCGGUGACGGUGAGAAAUACGACACAGAUUAACAGCUCACCGACAGGGGGCUAAGCAGGUCGUGGUAAAGGAAGGAGCGUCACACGGAACAGAACCUUCAUCGCAUCGGCUCAUUUGUGCAAAGCCCGCACUUUGCGGUGCGUGUGAUCGUACCGCACAGAGGGUAGGUGCCUGAUACGCGGAGGCUGGUGAACUGGGACUGAUUUUAUCCUCACAAGACCCUCAGCUCCUCAGGGAGCUCAUCUGGGGAGCAAAGCUGACCAGCGAGGAGGUUGGCACCCUCUGGGUAGGCUGGGGCUGGGUUCAGCUGGGGAGGGAUUGGCUUUUCAGUCCCCUCCCUCCCACCAUCUGAGAGACGGGAAGCCACAGGCCUCCCCGUGUCUCACUGAGGGUGCGGUGAUGGUGGUAGCCGGUGAGACUCCCACUGCCCGUCUGCCAGAGCACAGCCAGGCUCCAGGGCUGGUCCGGGGCUCCCCCUCCCUCCGGGCAUCAGGGCCGCUCAGCCCGUGGACCAGUACCCAGAGUUUCUGGCCUUUGCCCCCUGCACACGCUCUCCCUCUGGGCCUUUCCUGCCCCGGCCUGUGCAGCGUCCCCACCCUCCCCUCUCGGCCUGAACCCUUUCCUCCUUCCCCGAGGCCCUUCUGGUUCACGGGUGAGUCCUUGUCAGGUCUCAUCUCGGGACGGCAACGCUGUCCCUGGCCCCACGGCAGCAGCAGCCCCGGAACCCACGAGGAAUGUGAAUUUCUAGGCUUUAACAAGCCCGAAGGCGAUUGUGAUGCUCGGGGUGAGACCCGCUCCCCACCGUGGCAGGCUGGGGUGGGGCCGGCAACUCAGGAAAACGCCAGGAUGGCUGCGGCCUGAUCUCGGCAGCCAGGUCGGGCAGUCCACGGCCACGGAUGCCGAGUCUGCUCGGCCGGUGAGGAGGAGAGCACCGCACAUCUUCGCGUGUGAAGAUCCAGAUAAACAUUUAUCUAAAAGGAAAUUCGAAGCUUUUGUGUGCCAAACACCCGUGGCCAAGGUAAAAGGCUAAUUACAUGGGCAUGCGGAUUUGCAACAACUACAGUGAGGGGUUAACAUUUCAAUUAUGUGACGACACAGGUGAUUUAAUGAUGAAAAGUGCUGAGAUCCCCCCAAGUGGAGUGUCAGAGGUCAGGAACGGGCCUUUUGCCAAGAGAAGGAGCCGAGGACGGGCGAAGCCUGGUGGAAAAAAUAAAUACAGCAGCGGUUGAGUGCUUGGAGCGAUGACAAAAGGGAGGAGGAUAUUUGCUGGGGAAGCAUCAGACUGGUGAAAUGAUUCCCUUGUGUGACUUCUUUUUUUUUUUAAUUUUUUUUUUUUAACGUUUAUUUAUUUUUGAGACAGAGAGAGACACAGAGCAUGAACGGGGGAGGGUCAGAGAGAGGGAGACACAGAAUCCGAAACAGGCUCCAGGCUCUGAGCUGUCAGCACAGAGCCCGACGUAGGGCUCGAACCCACAGACUGAGAGAUCAUGACCUGAGCCAAAGUCGGCCGCUCAACCGACUGAGCCACCCAGGCGCCCCUCCCUUGUGUGACUUCUAAUAAAACUUCUUUUUCCUUA